UGAUGAGGGCAUCUCUGCCUUCCUCUUCUUCUUUCCCCCCGUGCUUUCUUCUUCCUUCUCUUUUUCUUUUCCCCUCCCCGUGACUCCUCUGCCUAUAUAAGUAAAGUAAUACAGAAGGAAAAGAUAAGAAUUCUCUAAAGAAUUUCUCUCUUUUCUCUUGCUUAUUCUCUCUAAAUUUAUGCGGCAAUUAUAAGAGUAUAUUUAUACACUUCGCUAAAGUUUUAUAACACGUUAUCAGCACGAAGCUCUAACCAACUGAGACGGUAAAAUUAAAUUCUUGCAAUUGGCCUGGCUUUGCCGCUUAUUAUAUUCUUUAACUGUCAAGUUAUAUUUAUGUUUUAUUGUCCAUUUUAAAUUAUGUUAUUUACAAUGGUACCAUCUAUCCUUGUUGAUCUUACAAGACUUGGUGGGAACCUUUUAACCGCGUAUUAAUUUGUGAGAAUAACCUGUAUAUACGGACUACCGCAUACCUAGUGAAUAUCCCUUGUAUUCAUUUCUUAUUAAAUUGUGGGAAUAACCUGUAUAUGCAGAAUACCGCAUACCUGGUGAAAAUCUUCUGUUAUUCCAUUCUUUAUUAUUCUGUUGGAUUAUCCUGUCUGUGCGGAUUACGCAUGACCUGGUUCCAUUCUUUAUUAUUCUAUUGGAAUAUCCUGUCUGUGUGGACUACCGCAUGCCGGGUGAAAAUCCAUUUACAGUUUUGUAUAUAUAUAUAUUUUUUUGUAAUUGUAUAUAUACAUUAACGAUUGCAUAUUCUUUUUACUAAGAUAAUAUGCUAAUAACAUAAAUAUAAGAAUAUUUAUAUUAUUUAUAUUUGCACUUUAUCACCACUUGAAG
rnacentral:lncRNA from 1 species